rnacentral:rRNA from 1 species
GACAACCGUGCGAACGUUAUUCGGAAUCACUGGGCUUAAAGCGCGUGUAGGCGGGACGGCACGUCGGCCGCUAAAAUCCCCCGGCUUAACCGGGGAAGGGCGCCGAUACGACCGCCCUGGGAGGAACGUAGGGGGAGCUGGAACUUCCGGUGGAGCGGUGAAAUGCGUUGAGAUCGGAAGGAACGCCCGUGGCGAAAGCGAGCUCCUGGACGUUUUCUGACGCUGAGACGCGAAAGCCAGGGGAGCGAACGGG